CUGUCCACACGUACCCGGAUAAAUACGUUGUUAAGGACAUGCCAGACCUGUAGGCGGCAGUACUUCCCCCGUUCUUAACCUCGUCCUUCGUCUGUGGUCUUCCGCAAGGAGCAGUGAUUCCGCUUGCAAAAACAAACAAGCAAAAAGUGCUUGGACAAUUGAUAAAGCGAGCGCAGCUCUGAGGGCUUCCAUGCUGUCGGCUAGUGUAAACACAGGUCGCACACAUGAUGUCAGCAUUUUUUUGUCGCGGAAAGUGACGUUGCAGACCUUAAAACUCCGGCUUUGUCUGUCCACACGCAGACACCCAAAACGGAGAAAACGCAGAUCUUCACUUUGGCCGGAGUUUUUAAAAAGAUUUGUUUUCGUGUGAAAAAAAACUCAGUUUUUGUGUGGUUGACAGGCCAAAACGUAGAAAAAUAUCUACGUUUUGGCAGAUCCCCGGCGACGUGUCCCCUUCAAUAUUGGACAAACGCGCAUUUGUCCCCCCCAACAACAAGGAGAAGACAAAAAUUGAUUUUGAAAUAUUUGACUCGCAAGCUUUUAUUUUGAAAGACACCGCGGACUUCUCACUGACACAGCCCCUCCCCUUAGGGAGUCAGACAGGCUGGCUGAGUGAAGCGGGAGUCGGAGCUGGGACGGCAGCAGCUCAGCGAGUUCUUCUCAUGGGCAAAAUAAGGAAGAAAGGAAAUGUGAGUUGGUAAUAAUUUAGUCCAAGAGCAUAAUUGUAUUUCUGGUCAAACGUUAGACUGGCUGACUAACGUAAACAUCUUGCUAGGCAGCAUUAAACAUUAAACAACACUACUAGUCAACAAAAAAUGGCAAAUUUGACAGUACGAGACAAAAACCAUUUGACACGAAAUAAAUAAAAAAGUAGAAUCUCCACAUAAAAAUGGAAUUUGUAACAUUUUAUUUUGAAACCUUAUUCAUGUCACUUUUUUCUUGUAAGAGACCAGAGGAAGUUCAGCAGGAAAUGAUGAAGAAAGUGAGACAGGCAGUGCCAGACCUGCUGAGGGUGAGACAGGGAGCAAAAGACUUGCUGAGGUGCAGCUCUAGUCACGCAACACUGUGUGUGCAAACCUCAGAAACUUUUCAACCCUGCACACAAGUCAGCCAUCAAGUAUCUGCAAUUGACAGAAUCGCGUGCAAUUCUGGAUGCCCUGGACUCAGCUGGAACUCACCAAGGGGAUUAAAAGGAAAAGAUGGAGUGGAGCUUUACCUGCUUCUGCAGAUGUCAGCUGCUGAAAUAAUGUUUGCAAAAAGGUUUUAUUUUGAUGGGAAAAUACAUUUUGGGGAUGAAAAAUCAGUUUUGUCCAGUUGUUAG
rnacentral:lncRNA from 1 species